rnacentral:misc_RNA from 1 species
UAAAUGCGAUAAGUAAUGUGAAUUGCAGAAUUCAGUGAAUCAUCGAAUCUUUGAACGCACCUUGCGCUCCUUGGUAUUCCUUGGAGCAUGCCUGUUUGAGUAUCAUGAAAUCUUCAAAGUGAAUCUUUUGUUAACUCAAUUGGUUUCUACUUUGGUAUUGGAGGUCUUUGCAGCUUCACACCUGCUCCUCUUUGUUCAUUAGCUGGAUCUCAGUGUUAUGCUUGGUUCCACUCGGCGUGAUAAGUUAUCUAUCGCUGAGGACACUGUAAAAGGUGGCCAAGGUAAAUGCAGAUGAACCGCUUCUAAUAGUCCAUUGACUUGGACAAUACUUUUAUGAUCUGAUCUCAAAUCAGGUAGGACUACCCGCUGAACUUAAGC